rnacentral:snoRNA from 1 species
AACGCAUGGUGAGGGCACCUUUGCAGUAGAUCCUUGUAUCUCUCCCAAGCAUCGUAAAGAGUUUCUAAGUCCAUCUGCACAAAAGAAGAAAUAUCAUUACGUAACUU